UACGUAGGUGGCAAGCGUUAUCCGGAAUUACUGGGCGUAAAGCGCACGCAGGCGGUCUUUUAAGUUUGACGUGAAAGCUCUCGGCUUAACUGGGAGAGGUCGUUGAAGACUGGAAGGCUUGAGGCAAUGAGAGGGGUGUAGAAUUCCCGGUGUAGCGGUGGAAUGCGUAGAGAUCGGGAAGAACAUCAGUGGCGAAGGCGGCCUGCUGGGCUGUUGCUGACGCUGAGGCGCGACAGCGUGGGGAGCAAACAGG
rnacentral:rRNA from 1 species